rnacentral:rRNA from 1 species
UACGGGGGGGGCAAGCGUUGUUCGGAAUUACUGGGGGUAAAGGGCGCGUAGGCGGCACUGCAAGUCAGUUGUGAAAUCUCCGGGCUUAACCCGGAAAGGUCAACUGAUACUGCAGGGCUAGAGUGCAGAAGGGGCAACUGGAAUUCUCGGUGUAGCGGUGGAAUGCGUAGAUAUCGCUUGGAACGCCGAAGGUGAAAACAGGCUGCUGGGGUUGCGCCGACGCUGAGACACGAAAGCCAGGGGAGCAAACGGG